rnacentral:rRNA from 1 species
AUUGAACGCUGGCGGCAGGCCUAACACAUGCAAGUCGAGCGGAUGAAGGGAGCUUGCUCCUGGAUUCCGCGGCGGACGGGUGUGUAAUGCAUAGGAAUCUGCCUGGUAGUGGGGGAUAACGUCCGGAAACGGGCGCUAAUACCGCGUACGUCCUGAGGGAGAAAGAGGGGGAUCUUCGGACCUCACGCUCUCAGAUGAGCCUAGGUCGGAUUAGCUAGUUGGUGGGGUAAAGGCCUACCAAGGCGACGAUCCGUAACUGGUCUGAGAGGAUGAGCAGUCACACUGGGACUGAGACACGGCCCAGACUCCUACGGGAGGCAGCAGUGGGGAAUUUUGGACAAUGGGCGAAAGCCUGAUCCAGCCAUGCCGCGUGUGUGAAGAAGGUCUUCGGAUUGUAAAGCACUUUAAGUUGGGAGGAAGUGCAGUAAGUUAAUACCGUGCUGUUUUGACGUUACCAACAGAAUAAGCACCGGCUAACUUCGUG